rnacentral:lncRNA from 1 species
ACCAUCUCUAACCAAAUUAAAGAAUGCAAGAUUAUAAAACCGCCUUCUACCCUUAUAUGGUGGUGAAAGUGUACUCUGUGCCUCAAUGUCCAAGCUCCUGACGUCGCGUGUCAUUGUCGGCAGCAAAAUAUUCAAGUCUCUUUAUAAUUGGACAUGGUCAUGCCCCAAACAUUAUUGAAGGGCAGAUUUCAAUAUUCUUUUUAAUACAAAGAUAAUAACAGUAGUAUAACUAUAAGUCCUGUCUAUAACAAAACAUCUUAUAU